CAAAUAACACAAAUAUCCCCAAAUCUAGAAAAAUAAUAUUUUCAUAAAUUAACUAUCCAACAUACCUCCAUCCUGUCUAUAUUUUUCUGCCUGUAUAUUCAUUGAUUGUCUCUUUAUAUUUGUAAUUUUUAAAAGAGAAAGCUCUAAUAAGUAGGGACUUCUUUAUAACAGAAUCAUACUACUAAUAUAUAUCUAACAAAUCUAACAUGAAUUCCUAUGAUGGGAUAGCCUCCUAAUUUCCAUUUCCCUUGAUUUAUUUUUCCUGGUACUAGAAAUCAAAUUCAGGACCUUACCUUUGCCAGGCAGGCACUAUACUGCUUAGGUAUAUAUCCCCGAUCCUUCCCUUGAUUAUUUUAAGAAUGGAAUUUUACAUUCAGUUUAUUCUAAUCAGGAUCGAAAAAGUCACACUUAACAUUUUUUUGGUGUCUCUUGUGUUUCAGUCUAUCAUGAUUUCCCCUCCUCUCUUUAAAAUAUGUCAUUUAUUUGUUGGCAGUUGGGUUAUUUUACCUAUUGAAUAUUCCAAGCCACAUUGACUUUAUCUCAAUAAUUAUUUGUGAUCAUGAGUUAGUAGAGAAAGCACAGUGUUCAGAAUUUAAAAACACUGAGUUCAUGUUCCAGUGUAGCGACUUACGUUCUUAAAAUGUCGUGUCAUAUCUCAUUGGUAUCAGACUAGAUUAUAUUAAAAGUACUUUUCAGUUGUUAAUGCAUUUCACUCCCAAAUCUUACUCCUAUUAAAGGAAAGAUAGAGGAAUUAUUAUAAAGACAAUCCAGUGUGUUCCUACAGACUGCUGGGUCUUGGCACAGUAUUUUCCCUAUAAUCUUGAUAUUUAUUUACUUAUUUAUUUACAUUUUGUUGGUUUUCUGGGACAAGGUCUCACUAUAUAACCCAAGCUAUCGUCAAGCUCACAAUCUUCCAGCCUCAAUAGGCUCUUGAACCUCUUGACAUUUUGUAUCAUUGGCUUUUAAGGUUGGAGAAAAAUAUUGUCUGACCCAACCUCCUUUAAACAGAUCAGUAGUUCAUUUGACAAUCCCUAAAAUCGCUUGAAGGAAAUGUAAAAUAUAACUUCUAGAUGUUAUUUUUAGCAGGUACCCUAGUAACAAAUGUCAUACUUAACAUAAUCCAUUUUCAUUUUGUGGCUGAGUACAUUUCUAAAUUGCUUCAAUAUGAGUCAACAUUAUAAUUUUUAGUGUAGCAGAGAAAAAAAUAGAACAUUUUGAAUCAGACUUCCUUCAUGAGAAGAGGCAUUAAUUGCAAUCACAAAAGUUGUUUGCUUUGCUGUACAAACACUGUUCAACUGACAGCUUUUUUAGAAUUUUGCUUUCAUGUGUGUGUUGACGGCUUGUCUGAAAAGAAAGCUCAAACACACUUUUAGAUCAGUUAAAUCAAUUAUUUCCCUCCUGGCAUGGAUUCCAUAACUAUCUAUGCUAAGUACUUCUGCACUGGUAAAGUUUGAGUAAGGAGAUACCAAUGUCACCUUGAACUGAUUAGCUCUGCUGUGAUAAUCAGUUCUGUCUGUCCUUUGUAAUUAAAACAACCCUAACAACGCGUAAUAAAACUAACAGUGUAUGUAUUAUUUGAAUUCUUUCAUAACACACUUCUAAUGACAUCAAGUGGGUGUUAAUGCUUUGGCAGUUGGCUUAAUCCUGUUAACAUUAACUGCAAAGCUUUGACAUGAUUAAUUGAUGCACAGAAGAUAAAUUAGGUAAUUUCAAAAGAUCCAAAUGCUCUAGAAAUAACAAAAUAAUUCUCCCUCCAAGAAUAAAGACUUUAGAAAAGAGCCGAAGAAUUCAUUUUUGUUCCUUGAUUGCAAUGUGGCCUUAGACCAGGUGGCCUUUGGGGGCUCUUAACUGAAAUUCUAUUUCUAUGAAAUUAAGUUGUGUUAAUAAUUCUUAAAGUAUUUAUUGAUAAACUUCAUAUUAAUUUUAAAAAAAUAGUGUUUUUAAAGUGCUAUGAAAGUAGUUAUUUCACCUACUAAAGAGUCCCAGAUUCUGUGAGUAUAUUGUUGUUUUGUUCUAAAUACAUUCAUUCACUGAACAAAAAUACAUUCACUGCAUGACUACUAAGUGUGUGAUACUACUCUAGGUACUGGAGCUAUAGUAUAGAACUAGACAGAUUGCAGUCUGUCUUGUCUGCCACUCGUAAUGUCAGCAUUUGUUAAAGAGAAAUUAUUCACAGCACUUACUAAAUACAAUAAGACAGACUUUGCUCAAGACAAUUGUAACAGGUAUGGGGACCUCAGCAAAGGGCUUUUCCAGAGAGAAAGAGGGGGGUGGGGGAGAGAUUGGACUCAGUUCCAAAUACAGCAAAGAAAAGUAGAAAUUUAUAAGCAAAGAGGUGGGUGAGUUAUGUUGAUGGAUAGAAAAUUACUGAGAGGGUAGGGAAAUUGCCUGCUAAACUGAAUUAACAAGUCUUGCUGAAGGCAGACCGCAGUAAUCAAACACUAGCUGGAGGAUGGAUGUGGGUGCAUGAAGAAUUUGGUUAGAUAACAAGGGCAGAGAAUUCUGGCUGAACUGAGCAGAAUUCUUGCUGAAACUGGGCCUUUGAGGACAUGUCCAAAAACUAACCUAGGUGCACUCAGAGGAGCCUGACUCAAGUUAAAUAAAAGAAAAAAUGUUUGUUACACUGUAGUGCAAGAGCCAGACAAUUAACAGGCAGAUAAGUAUAUACGGUAUAUAAUGUUAAUGAGGAGUGCUAUAAGGAAAAAUGAGUCAGAAUUGAUAAAUGCAGAUAUGUGAAAGGGAGGGUUGGACAGGCAUUUCAUAUAGAUGAUCAGAGAAAGUCUCUGGAAAUAUAUCAUUUGUGAAUUGUGUGAAAGAAGAAUUAUAUGAAGGAAAGAGCCACCAAAAUAUUUGGGAUAAGAACAGCUCAGCCAGAAGUUUGCAAUUAGAGUGCCAAUAGUCAGAUCAUACUUGGCUACAUUUAAAACUUUGCAUUUUUAAAAAAGUAAUCAAAUCCUUUCAGAGAAUUCUUAGCAGGAUAAUGUGAUCUGAGUCAUAAAUUUAAAUAAACAGUCUUUCUAGACAGCUGUAUGGCAAAAAGUAUAAGGCUGGAAGGAAACAAAAACUACUUUGAAGACUAUUUUAGUAGACACAUGAGUGCUGGUAGUAGCUUAACCAUAGGAUGGGAACAGUGAAAAUAGCGAGAGACAUUAAGAUCUGACAUAAACAUUUUAAAGUUGGCUCCAAGAGGAAUUGGUAAUCAUUCUAUGCAAGAUGUGAGGGGAAUGGAAAAAGGAGGAAUCAAGGACUUAGAUUUUGGCCCCUGCAACUAGAGGAUUUUUACAAGGGUGCCAUAGUCUGAAAUGUAAAAGACUUUUUGAGAAGUAAGUUGGGGUGAAGUUUGGGGACUGGAUAGGAGACAAAAUUCUGUUUUAACCAUGUUAAGUUUAAGAUGCUUCCAAAAGAAUGUGCUGAAUGUAAUGGGUUACCCUGAAUAAAGAACCGAGACCAGAAUCCAAAGUGGAAUUUUAAGAGCCUUUAUUAGCCGGGCCUGCGGCUGUCAGUCUGUUCUCCAUGCAGGGAGAUGCUGAGCAGCACAGACCCAAAGAAAGCUUGAGCUUUUAAACUUGAAAACCACAUCCUGGUGGGCGCAGGUGAAAAUAUUUUUUGCAAGGGCAAAAAAGCGCAACCUAUCAGUUCCAGCAAGCAGGUGUUGCAAAGUUCAGAACAUUCUUAGAAGCAUACAUUGUUUUCAAACUAAACUAACAAUGAAGCACAGUUUCUCUUUCUUGGGUCAAACUGACAUUUUUUCCUCCACCCAAUAGCCCAGUAAUUUUUCAUCCAUUUUAUGUGUUCACCAGUUAUGUGUUCACCACAUUUCCCCACUGGUUUUCUGGGGAAUCAAAUAAUUUCUUCAGUUUCUUCCUCCAUCUCAGCUAACACAUUUACCAUUAGUUUGACAGUUUGUACUUGGUCCUGUACAUAGGGUUAACAAUAAAGGUAUCAGGGGCUCAGCCAAGGCAGUCAGUAGGGUGGUCAACCAUGGGAUCAUAGAGAACAAUCCCUCAUACCAAUUAGACUGGGAUCUUCUUUGAUCGUCUCUAUCCUGUAGGUGCUUCCUCAAUCGGCUUACACUGUUCUGUUCUUCUGGUUGUGGUUGCAGGUGUCGGAAGAGAGAAUGAGUUGCCUGCAGUGAAGACUGAAGUGCCUGUAAGGACUUAACAAGCUCUUGGUUAGAGAUUGACAUGAGAAUUUCUUCCCCGACCUUCUGGAGAAGAGGGCAAGCCAGCUUUGGACACUAAUGGAAAUGUUACAGGAAUGGCGAUUCCUCUGAGGUUUACAAGACUCCAUCUUCUCUGCUCUCCUACACCCAUUCCCCUUGCCCAGUCUUUCUCAGGGCUAUGCAUCCAUCUUGCACCUUCCGCUGUCACCAGGAAGCUCAAAAUCCAGGAGGAGGGGUUUUGUUUACUCUGCCUCAUUAUCACGGCGCUCACAGUGGGCAGAGAGGAAUGUGUUCCUUUAUUUCACAUCUCUGCACAAUGUGGAGGCGAAACCAGUUUCUCAGGCGAUGGACUGAGUGGCAGCGAGGGAUGGGACCCACAGGCUGGCAGCCACUGCAGCCUGCGCAAAGCGUGGGUGGCAGAGGAGCCCAGGUGGUGCACUCAGCCUUCUUCUUUUCCUACUUCGGAAUUCUUCACCUCCUUGACAAUGGCUUGAGCACGUGACUGUCUUUGGUUGAUGAAGGUGAA